GAUGAACGCUGGCGGCGUGCCUAAUACAUGCAAGUCGAGCGAACGGACGAGAAGCUUGCUUCUCUGAUGUUAGCGGCGGACGGGUGAGUAACACGUGGAUAACCUACCUAUAAGACUGGGAUAACUUCGGGAAACCGGAGCUAAUACCGGAUAAUAUUUUGAACCGCAUGGGUCAAAAGUGAAAGAAGGUCUUGCUGUCACAUAUAGAUGGAUCCGCGCUGCAUUAGCUAGUUGGUAAGGUAACGGCUUACCAAGGCAACGAUGCGUAGCCGACCUGAGAGGGUGAUCGGCCACACUGGAACUGAGACACGGUCCAGACUCCUACGGGAGGCAGCAGUAGGGAAUCUUCCGCAAUGGGCGAAAGCCUGACGGAGCAACGCCGCGUGAGUGAUGAAGGUCUUCGGAUCGUAAAACUCUGUUAUUAGGGAAGAACAUAUGUGUAAGUAACUGUGCACAUCUUGACGGUACCUAAUCAGAAAGCCACGGCUAACUACGUG
rnacentral:rRNA from 1 species